rnacentral:rRNA from 1 species
GAUGAACGCUGGCGGCGUGCCUAAUACAUGCAAGUCGAGCGGACAGACGAGGAGCUUGCUCCUCUGACGUUAGCGGCGGACGGGUGAGUAACACGUGGAUAACCUACCUAUAAGACUGGGAUAACUUCGGGAAACCGGAGCUACUACCGGCUAAUAUAUUGAACCGCAUGGUUCAAUAGUUAAAGACGGUUUUGCUGUCACUUAUAGCUGGAUCCGCGCCGCAUUAGCUAGUUGGUAAGGUAACGGCUUACCAAGGCAACGAUGCGUAGCCGACCUGAGAGGGUGAUCGGCCACACUGGAACUGAGACACGGUCCAGACUCCUACGGGAGGCAGCAGUAGGGAAUCUUCCGCAAUGGGCGAAAGCUUGACGGAGCAACGCCGCGUGAGUGAUGAAGGUCUUCGGAUCGUAAAACUCUGUUAUUAGGGAAGAACAAAUGUGUAAGUAACUAUGCACGUCUUGACGGUACCUAAUCAGAAAGCCACGGCUAACUACGUG